AUGGUUAAGUGAAUAAGGGCGCACGGUGGAUGCCUUGGCACUAGGAGCCGAUGAAGGACGGGACUAACACCGAUAUGCUUCGGGGAGCUGUAAGUAAGCUUUGAUCCGGAGAUUUCCGAAUGGGGAAACCCAAUUGCUUUGAUAGGCAAUUACUCAACUACGAAUACAUAGUAGUUUGAGAGGAAGACGCAGGGAACUGAAAC
rnacentral:rRNA from 1 species